CAACCCCAGGUCUGGCGGGAUUACCCGCUGAGUUUAAGCAUAUCAAUAAGCAGAGGAAAAUGAACUUUCAAGGAUUCCCCUAGUAACGGCUAACGAACCGGGAAGAGCCUAGCUUGAAAAUCGAGCAACCCUAUUGUUCGAAUUGUAGUAUGGAGAAGCGUCCUCAACAACAGACUCGGCCCAAGUCCCCUAGAAAGGGGCGCUAGAGAGAGUGCGAGCCCCAUCGUGCCCGGACCCUAUCACACCACGAGGUGCUAUCUGCUAGUCGGGUUAUUUGGGAAUACAGCCCUAAUCGGCUAGUAAAUUCCUUUUAAGGAUAAAUAUGGCGAGAGACCGAUAGCAAACAAGUAUCACGAGAGAAAGAUGAAAAGGAUUUUGAAAAGAGAGCCAAAGAGUGCUUGAAAUUGUCAGAAGGGAAGCGGAUAGGGGCUGGUGAUGUGCCCCAAUCGAAUGUAGAACGAUAACUAGCUGGUCGUCGAUCAACUUGGGGCGUAGACCGAUGCGGACUGGUCCGCCGAUCGACUUGAGGCAUAGACUGGUGCGAAUUAAGGCAGAGGCCAAAGCCUUGGCAGUCGAAAAGCUCGCGGAGAUGCCUUCGCCUUGAUCAUGGCUGGCAGUGCACGCCCUUAGGAUUGCUUCGGCAUCUACGCGCUCACGACACUAGCCUGCGAACUCCUCAUUCAGCCAGUCUUGAAUCAUGGACCAAGGAGUCCGACAUGUAUGCGAGUCAACGGGUAAGUAAACUCGUAAGGUGCAAAGAAGCUGAUUAACGUGAUCCUCUUGUGGGUUGCACUGUCAACCGACCUUGAUCUUUUGAGAAGUGUUCGAGUGUGAGCAUGUCUGUUAACACUCGAAAGAUGGUGAACUAUGCCUGAGUGGGGCGAAGCCAGAGGAAACUCUAGUGGAGACCCGUAGCGAUACUGACGUGCAAAUCAUUCGUCUGACUUGGGUAUGGCGGUGAAAGACUAAUUGAACCGUCUAGUAGUUGGUUUGCUCCGUAGUUUCCCUCAGGAUAGCUAGAGCCCGGGUGCAAGUUCUAUCAGGUAAAGCCAAUUGUUAAAGGCAUCGGAAGCGCAACACCCUCAACCUAUUCUCAAACUUUAAAUUGGUAGAACAACGUGACUGCUCUGUUGAGUUGCGCCAUAGAAACGAGAGGUCCAAGUGGGCCUUUUUUGGUAAGCAGAACUGGUGAUGCAAGAUGAACCAGAAGCCAGGUUACGAUGCCCAACUGCGUGCUAACCUAGAACCCAUAAAGGGUGUUGGUCGAUUAAGACAGCAUGACAGUGGUCUUGGAAGACGAAAUCCACUAAAGAAUGCAUAACAACUCACUUGCCGAAUCAACUAGCCCCGAAAAUGGAUGGCGCUUAAGUGCGCGACCUAUACCCGGCCGUCGGGGCAAGUGCCAGGCCCCGAUGAGUAGGAGGGCGCAGUAGUCGCUGCAAAACCUUAGGCGCGAGCGACCGUUGGUAAGGAUCUUGGUGGUAGUAGCAAAUAUUCAAAAGAGAACUUUAAAGGGCAAAGAGGGGAAAGAUUCCAUGUGAACAGCACUUGCACAUGGGUUAGUCAUUCCUAAGAGUCGGGGGAAACCCGACAAAGAGCGCGUUCAGUGUGAGCUUCGAAAGGGAAUCAGGCUAAAAUUCCUGAACCGGAACAUGGCGGCUGAAGGCAACGUUAGAGAGUCUGAAGACGUCAGCGGGGGCCUCGGGAAGAGUUAUCUUUUCUAUUUAACAGCUUGCCCAGCCUAGAAACAGCUCAGCCAGAGGUAGGGCCCAGCGGUUGGAAGAGCACCGCAUGUCAUGUGGUGUUCAGUGCACCCUUGGCGGCCCUUAAAAAUCUAAAACACUGUGUGCCUCCCACGCCCGGUCAUACUCAUAACCACAUCAGGUUUCCAAGGUGAACAUCCUCUGGUCGAUGGAACAAUAUAGGUAAGGGAAGUUGGGAAAAUGGAUCUGUAACUUCGGGAAAAGUAUUAGCUUUGAGGACUAGGCACGGGGGUUUUAGUCCUGAACCUGUCGACUCUCGGUGGACUGCUCGAGGUGCUCCCAUGCCGAGAGUGGGUCAUUGUGUGCCGGUUGGGGGAUAGACUAGGAACGUUGCCUUGCAGGGCCUGCCCUGGGCAGUGAGCAAUCGACUCAUAACUGUUACAGACAACGGGAAUCUGAUUAUUCAAUUAAAACAAAGCAUUGCGAUGGUCCCUAUGGAUGCUCACGCAAUAUGAUUUCUGCCCAGUGCUCUGAAUGUCAAGGUGAAUAAAUUCAACCAAGAACGGGUAAAUGGAGAAAGUAACUAUGACUCUUUUAAGGUUGCCUAAUGCCUUGUCAUCUAAUUAGUGACGUGCAUGAAUGGAUUAACGAGAUUCCCACUGUCCUUGUCCACUAUCUAGCAAAACCACAACCAAGGGAACGGGCUUGGCAGAAUCAGUGGGGAAAGAAGACCCUGUUGAGCUUGACUCUAGUUUGACUUUGUGAAAUGACAUGAGAGGUGUAUGAUAAGUGGGAGCCGAAAAGGGAAAAAGUGAAGUACCACUACUUUUAACAUUAUUUUACUUAUUCAGUGAAUCGGAGGUAGGGCGCUGCCCCUCUUUUUGGACCCAAGGCCCGCCUCAGCGGGCCGAUCCAAGGGAAAGACAUUGUCAGGUGGGGAGUUUGGCUGGGGUGGCACAUCUGUUAAAAGAUAACGUAGGUGUCCUAAUAUGAGCUCAACGAGAACAAAAAUCUCGCGUGGAACAGAAGGCUAAAAGUUUGUUUGAUUUUGAUUUCCAGUAUGAAUAUGAACCGUGAAAGUGUGACCUAACGAUCCUUCAGACCUUCAGAAUUUGAAGCUAGAGGUGUCAGAAAAGUUACCACAGGGAUAACUGGCUUAUGGCAGCCAAGUGUUCAUAGCGACGUUGGUUUUUUAUCCUUCGAUGUCGGCUCUUCCUAUCAUUAUGAAGUAGAAUUCACCAAGUGUUGGAUUGUUCACCCACUAAUAGAGAACGUGAGCUGGGUUUAGACCAUCGUGAGAUAGUUUAGUUUUACCAUACUAAUGACAGUGUCGCAAUAGUAAUUCAACUUAGUACGAGAGAAACCAUUGAUUGCACAAUUGAUCAUCGCGCUUGGUUAAAAAGCCAGUGGCGCGAAGCUACCAUGCGCUGGAUUAUGACUAAAUGCCUCUAAGUCAGAAUUUGGGCUAGAAGCGAUGCAUGCGCCUGUCGCCUACUUGCUGAUCUGCAGUUGGGACCGUUCGGCCCCCAAAGGGACGCGUUAUUGGUGAAGCCCGCGCAACGGAUGAGCCGCGCGGGCUGCCUUGAAGUACAAUUCCUAUCUUGAGCGGUGGGUAGAAUCCUUUGCAGAUGACUUAAAUACACGAUGGGGUAUUGUGUGUGGCAGAGUGGCCUUGCUUCCACAAUCCACUAAGAUACAGCCCUGCGUCGCUCCGAUUCGU